rnacentral:rRNA from 1 species
UACGGGGGGGGUAAGCGUUGUUCGGAAUUACUGGGCGUAAAGGGCUCGUAGGCGGCCAACUAAGUCGGACGUGAAAUCCCUCAGCUUAACUGGGGAACUGCGUCCGAUACUGGAUGGCUUGGAUUUGGGAGAGGGAUGCGGAAUUCCAGGUGUAGCGGUGAAAUGCGUAGAUAUCUGGAGGAACACCAGUAGCGAAGGCGGCACUCUGGGCCGGUACUGACGCUGAGGAGCGAAAGCGUGGGGAGCGAACAGG